CCUUUGAUAGCUCAGUUGGUAGAGUGGAGGACUGUAGAUCCUUAGGUCGCUGGUUCGAAUACGGCUCGAAAGG
rnacentral:tRNA from 1 species